rnacentral:rRNA from 1 species
CCUACGGGAGGCAGCAGUGAGGAAUUUUCCGCAAUGGACGCAAGUCUGACGGAGCAACGCCGCGUGCAGGAAGACGGCCUUCGGGUUGUAAACUGCUUUUAUCAGGGAAGAGUACGGACGGUACCUGAUGAAUCAGUCCCGGCUAACUACGUGCCAGCAGCCGCGGUAAU